rnacentral:rRNA from 1 species
GACGAACGCUGGCGGCGUGCUUAACACAUGCAAGUCGAACGCUGAAGCUCAGCUUUUGUUGGGUGGAUGAGUGGCGAACGGGUGAGUAACACGUGAGUAACCUGCCCCCUUCUUUGGGAUAACGCCCGGAAACGGGUGCUAAUACUGGAUAUUCACUGGUCUUCGCAUGGGGGUUGGUGGAAAGGGUUUUUCUGGUGGGGGACGGGCUCGCGGCCUAUCAGCUUGUUGGUGGGGUGAUGGCCUACCAAGGCUUUGACGGGUAGCCGGCCUGAGAGGGUGACCGGCCACAUUGGGACUGAGAUACGGCCCAGACUCCUACGGGAGGCAGCAGUGGGGAAUAUUGCACAAUGGGCGCAAGCCUGAUGCAGCGACGCCGCGUGAGGGGUGGAGGCCUUCGGGUUGUGAACCUCUUUCGCUCAUGGUCAAGCCGCGACAAUGGUUGUGGUGAGGGUAGUGGGUAAAGAAGCGCCGGCUAACUACGUG